rnacentral:lncRNA from 1 species
ACACUGCACGCUAAGAGCCAAAGACUCCUUAACCGCCAAUUCAUCAGAUCGUCUAGCGAGCAGUCUGUUAUCUCUGGGAGUGACAAGGUUCCGGGCCACCACCGCAGCGGUCAUGUCAUUUUUCAUCACCGAAUCCCCAACGGUAAGAGGACCGGUAGGGGAUAUGAAGGAUGGGCGCCAUAUGUUGUCUGGUGAAGGCGGAGCUGCCUCUUCACCAAUGUUCAAGUCAAAACGACGAUCGGACGGGCCAGACAUUUUCUGAAGGUGGUGAAGAAAGAAGAGAGUCGGACUGAUUAAGAUUUUGGAAGUUUACAGGAGGGAGUGUUUACAGGAGGGAGCUCAAGUGUGUUGUGGAACAAAAUUAGCGCCUCUAUAAAAAGAAGAAAUCAAAGAGGCGCUCCUCAGAAAUUGAAGAGGCGUCCUCUCGCAAAUCGAAGAGUCGGGGCUCCGUUCUCAAACGCCUGAUUCUUU